CUCAGAAGGUAGAAGAGAUAUUCAGAAGGUAGAAGAGAUACUCAGAAGGUAGAAGAGAUACUCAGAAGGUAGAAGAGAUACUCAGAAAGUAGAAGAGAUACUCAGAAGGUAGACGAGAUACUCAGAAGGUAGAAGAGGUACUCAGAAAGUAGAAGAGAUACUCAGAAAGUAGAAGAGAUACUCAGAAAGUAGAAGAGAUACUCAGAAAGUAGAAGAGAUACUCAGUCAGAGGUGUAGAUGACUAGACAGAACAGGCCCGAUGCUCCAGUAUCACAGGCCAUUGAUCAAAAGGAAUGUCGGCACACAGCAUAUUGUUUUAUCUAUCAGGUUAAGGGGGAGGGGCUCAACUCCAAGGAAUGGGAAUAACUAACAUGACAUCAGUCCCACAGGGUCAUUCUUGAGCUGCGGUAAUAUAUAUAUUUUUAAAUUAAACUUUUUUUUUUUUUACUAGAAUAAAUGCAUUUUCUGAAUCCCCACAAAAUGAAGAACAUAUUAAACCUCCAAGAAAGCAUUUACCUUCAACCCCGUCACAGACAACAUGGAAGUUGUCUGAAUAUGAUUCUAAAAGAUACUUGUUAUAAAAUCAACAUCUACCUAAUGCCCAAAUAAAUACAAUUAUUAGAAAUAUAAAAUCUCAGAAAUGUUUGCUUUUAUUAAAACCCUGA
ensembl:lncRNA